UAGAGAAUUGCCCAAAACCUCAAGUGUUUA
rnacentral:piRNA from 1 species